rnacentral:rRNA from 1 species
AGAGUUUGAUCCUGGCUCAGGAUGAACGCUGGCGGCGUGCCUAAUACAUGCAAGUCGAGCGAACGGACGAGAGGCUUGCUUCUCUGAUGUUAGCGGCGGACAGGUGAGUAACACGUGGAUAACCUACCUAUAAGACUGGGAUAACUUCGGGAAACCGGAGCUAAUACCGGAUAAUAUUUUGAACCGCAUGGUUCAAAAGUGAAAGACGGUCUUGCUGUCACUUAUAGAUGGAUCCGCGCUGCAUUAGCUAGUUGGUAAGGUAACGGCUUACCAAGGCAACGAUGCAUAGCCGACCUGAGAGGGUGAUCGGCCACACUGGAACUGAGACACGGUCCAGACUCCUACGGGAGGCAGCAGUAGGGAAUCUUCCGCAAUGGGCGAAAGCCUGACGGAGCAACGCCGCGUGAGUGAUGAAGGUCUUCGGAUCGUAAAACUCUGUUAUUAGGGAAGAACAUAUGUGUAAGUAACUGUGCACAUCUUGACGGUACCUAAUCAGAAAGCCACGGCUAACUACGGGCCAGCAGCCGCGGUAAUACGUAGGUGGCAAGCGUUAUCCGGAAUUAUUGGGCGUAAAGCGCGCGUAGGCGGUUUUUUAAGUCUGAUGUGAAAGCCCACGGCUCAACCGUGGAGGGUCAUUGGAAACUGGAAAACUUGAGUGCAGAAGAGGAAAGUGGGAUUCCAUGUGUAGCGGUGAAAUGCGCAGAGAUAUGGAGGAACACCAGUGGCGAAGGCGACUUUCUGGUCUGUAACUGACGCUGAUGUGCGAAAGCGUGGGGAUCAAACAGGAUUAGAUACCCUGGUAGUCC